GAGUUUCCGCUGAGGAGCCGCGGGAAAGGAGAGGAGGGGCGGUGGCCAGGCGGUUGCCCUGACAACGGGAAACCGACAGUCUCUUCCCGGUAGGGAGAGGGGAUGGCGGAAUUACUCCUCUAAUGUCAAGGUUUUCUAAUCACAGAAUUACUGGAGCGUCAAGAAGCGCCUGCAUGCUUGGAAGGGCUUCCAGGCAGAUGAACACACCUCAGCACCGGGUGGCAGUUUCCCAGGGUGCAACCCGGACCGGCUCUGGGUCACACUGACAAGUGCACCCCUCCUGAGCUGAAGUGUUCCCAUUCUCUCCGCAGCCUCUCCGACUCCCCAGGCUGGGUUGGGUGCUCCUCCCUCUCAUCCCACAGCGCUAUGUCUCAUGUCUUCUGGAAAACUUGCCAAUCCCUAGUGAUAACAAGGAUUAACAAUUUCCAGAGACAGCCCGUACAUAGAGGGAAAGUUUACUGAAAAAAAUGAAGAGGGGUCAGGGCAAGGCGAGGAGCAAGAAGCAUCCCCAAGGAAACAGAGAAGACCAGUACAACUGUACCUCUUUGCCAGCUGCACCAUCCGUACCAGGUGGCACGUUCUAGAGGCCAUAGCCUCUGUUCUGGUCAUCUCCAGUCUCCUGGGGUGGGAGUGUACAGCUCAGAGACUGCCACACUGCAAGACGAAGGGGCUGGAUGGACGGAAGUAAGAGGCGGAACCCUGCACACCCUCGGCCUCAGCCCCACUGAGUCUCCAAUGGGGCCACGCUUCUGAGUGCACCUCCCCCUGUCAUCUGUAAUGUGAGGGGGAACCAGGCUUGAUAUGGCAUUCCCAAUCCAGGGCCUCUGGACCCCUUGAGAUGCAUUAA
rnacentral:antisense_RNA from 1 species